CCAGUUCGGACUGCAGCCUGCAACCCGGCUGCACGAAGCCGGAAUCGCUAGUAAUCGCGGAUCAGCAUGCCGCGGUGAAUACGUUCCCGGGCCUUGUACACACCGCCCGUCACACCAUGGGAGUUUGUAACGCCCAAAGUCGGUGGCCUAACCUUUAUGGAGGGAGCCGCCUAAGGCGGGACAGAUGACUGGGGUGAAGUCGUAACAAGGUAAC
rnacentral:rRNA from 1 species